rnacentral:pre_miRNA from 14 species
UCUUCGGGGUCUGGGGUGGUCAUGAAGAUCCAGAACAUGCCCCCAAGUGAAAGAUCCUCAAAGGGAGACCCUUACUCAAGUCUUGGGAAGUUGCGGAUCCCAGACACAUGAGAGACC